AUAUGAAUCACCUGGGGAUCAGGUUGGAAAUGCAGAUUCUAAUUAAGUCAGGGGUGGGGGCUGAUAUUCUGCAUUCAUAACAAGUACCUAAGUGAUAAAAAU
rnacentral:miRNA from 1 species